rnacentral:lncRNA from 1 species
UUUUAAUUGUGCAGUUUCUUUAUGAGCUGGGUUGGUGAAUGAGGACUGGAAAAUUGCCUUGCUGCUCUAAUACAUCACAGGAUUGUUAUGUAAAUGAAAUGCUUGCAGUAAGAAAGUACAAUACAAAGGAAGUGAACUCUUCCUGACUGCUGGAGGUUAUUUUGAGGUGAUUUUUCCUGUGUUCGAACGGUCACCAGCCAUUGCUACUCUGUACCUGUAACAGAAGGACAUGUCAGCUGCUCAGAAUUGCCAGAUAACCUUUCAGAAAGUAUAAGGAAAGAUGAAGAAAAAUAAUGAUAUAUGUUUAAAAUAUAGCCACAAUAUUGCUGUUAAUGUGGGUGACCAAAUGCCUGAAACCAAAAUGUAUGAUGCCUUUUCUUCCUAGUGAGGAUCUAAAGCU